UACGUAGGGUGCGAGCGUUGUCCGGAAUUAUUGGGCGUAAAGAGCUCGUAGGCGGCUUGUCGCGUCGGAUGUGAAAGCCCGGGGCUUAACUCCGGGUCUGCAUUCGAUACGGGCAGGCUAGAGUUCGGUAGGGGAGAUCGGAAUUCCUGGUGUAGCGGUGAAAUGCGCAGAUAUCAGGAGGAACACCGGUGGCGAAGGCGGAUCUCUGGGCCAUUACUGACGCUGAGGAGCGAAAGCGUGGGAGCGAACCGG
rnacentral:rRNA from 1 species